rnacentral:rRNA from 1 species
CUACGGGGCGCUCCAGUGGGGAAUAUUGCACAAUGGGGGAAACCCUGAUGAAGCAACGCCGCGUGGAGGAUGACGCAUUUCGGUGUGUAAACUCCUUUUAACGAGGAAGAAAUUUGACGGUACUCGUUGAAUAAGCACCGGCUAACUCCGUGCCAGCAGCCGCGGUAAUACGGAGGGUGCAAGCGUUACUCGGAAUCACUGGGCGUAAAGGACGCGUAGGCUGUUUGGUAAGUCAGGGGUGAAAUCCUGCGGCUUAACCGCAGAACUGCUCUUGAAACUAUCAAACUAGAGUGAGGGAGAGGCAGAUGGAAUUGGUGGUGUAGGGGUAAAAUCCGUAGAGAUCACCAGGAAUACCGAUUGCGAAGGCGAUCUGCUGGAACUUAACUGACGCUGAGGCGUGAAAGCGUGGGGAGCAAACAGGAUUAGAUACCCGCGUAGUC